rnacentral:lncRNA from 1 species
AGGCCUCAAACCUGGUAUGUAACUGAGGCUGGCCCUGAACUACUAACCAUCCUGCCUCCACCUCCUGAACAUUGGGUUAUACUCGUGUGCUGAUGAGGUGUGGUACUGUGGGAAGUGAAACACAACAGUCACUUUGUGACAACUUGGCAACAUCUUAUGACAGAAAUACCACAUGACUCGGCAAUUUUACCACCAAAAUUUAUUGAAGAAAAGUGAGUAUGUUCACACACAUUGUAUAUAAAUGCUCAUAACCAUUUUAUUCAUAAUAACCCAAACUAAAAACAACUGAGGUCCACACCAAUAGAUUAAUAGCAUCUUCAAGUAACAGAAUGCUACUCUGAAGGAAACUGACUGAAGUAACAACAUGGAUGUUUUUCACAGAGCCACGCUGAGUGAAACCACACAUAAAUAAAAGCCAUACUGAUUUCACCUAAUAUACAGCAACACAAAGUGGACAGUCAGGGCUUGGGCCAAGGGUGGAUUGAUGGGAAUCUAACUCAAGGGACACGAGGUAACUCUGAGGAUGAUGGAAAUGUUCUCUAUUUUGGUUGUGGAGAAAAGCCAAGCAGGUGCAUUUCUGUCCAAUUUCUUAGGUGUUGUUUCCACAGGUGUUUCUGUUAUAUGUAAACUAACUCAGUAACACUGCUCUGAAAAGUAGCUUGAUUAGGACAUGCCAUUGGGCUACCAAGUCUGCCUGGCAUCUGCAGUUCUCACACUGGUUCUUAGUAGCAUAUUGGUCUGGUACAAUGUAUGAGACCACUGUCUUGUGUAACAAUCUCUCCUCCCUUAUUCCUUCCAAGACCUGAUGACCCACCCACACCUAUUCAAGAACAGUGUUUCAAACCUCUUGGCUUUCUGUAGUAGUCUAGUAAUGUAGCUUUAGCUGGUCUGGUAUUUACUAUGGAGCCCAGGUUAGCCUCGAAUUCACAGCAACCCUCCUGUCUUCCAUUCUUGAGUGUUGAAUUAUAGGCAUGUGCUACCAUACCCAGCUUAUUCUCAUGGUUGUUGAAACGGUUAUUUCCAACCUUUUUGUUACCAACAGCGAAUAUCAACUCCCUCUCUGUUCCUAUCAGCACAGCUUCACACAAAUCUGCAGGACGAGAGCUCAAAGUUUAUCUGAGUGGAACAGAAUGCGGCAGCUUUCCUGUCUCCCUGGAAUGCAACACCAUUUUUUAGGGCACAGGGUCCCGUGUAGCCCAAGCUAGUCUCUGACUAUGGAGAAAGGGUGACCUUAAACUAGUGAUCCUCCUGCCUCCACUCGUAAGUGCUGGGAUUACAGUUGUGUGCUACCAGGCCAGUUAGUGAUACUAUUUUUAACAACUAUGGUCCUCAUUCCUGGUAAUUUCUUGUGUUCUGGGUGCUUCUGGGAACUGUGACUCACUAGAGUCCCUGCUUCAGGGGGAGGAAGAGAGGAAGAGAGAGACAGACAGACAGAUGUGUCAGUGGUCAGUCUUGAGGAUCAAAGCUGAGUUUAUUAAAUGAGAAGAUGACAAAAGCCUGAAGGAAAAGGACUUUUGAUUUGUCUGAGUGCCAAGCUCUGGAGGCAAAAAAGGUUUUGAGGAACCUACUCAACUAGGCUGUGCAAAAUCAAUGUCGGGGCCUUGUCGACAUUCAACAAGAGAAGUUUGACCUAACAAGAAGAGCAGUAGGAAAGAUGUCAAGAGCCUGGCUGCACAGGUCUGAGGUUUCUUGGACCCAUUCCUGAGUGUGGAUACCCAACAGAACCACAAUGCAAAGAUUAGCCCAGAGUCCAUGGAGCAAGGUCUAGGCCUUAAUAGAUUUAAAGAACUGCCCCUGCAUUCCCUGUUGACCCAGUUUUGAGAAAUGAUAUCAACUCACAGGAAUCAAAAGGCACAAGCAUUUAACAUGCCUUUUCUCAGGGCACAGUUCAACUUGACACAACUCCAUUCAGCAUGACACUGGGGCACAAAGACCCCUCAGAAAGUUAGUAGUGGCUUCAAUAAUAUUUAGGCUUCACUACUUCUAGACUGCUCCCCACACUAGAUUGUGAAGUCUAUUUUGCAAGUGAGUAUUUUGUGGAUAAGGGUAAAAGCACUAAGCAUAAACAUGGUAGAAUCUCAACAACAAUUAGGGUGUCAGUAAUAUACCCUGGUAGAACUUGAGAGGUGAUGGAUCUGAAGGGGCUAUGAACAACUCUAGUUGAUUAGACUUCACAAACCUUCAGCUCCUGCGAAGACCAGGAAAUCAAAGCAUGCACGUAACCACCACAAACUACAGUCACAAUGAAGGCCAGAGUUAUCUGUGAGUGCACACACAGACACUAACUUUGCAAAGGUUUAUCCAAUUCUUUGUGCCGAAAAAGUUGACACUAUUUCCAUCUAGUCCCAAUAGCAAAAGCUGCUCAUGUGCAGUUCUAAAAACCAAACCAACUCCAAAUGAUGUCAGGGUCUUAACAGGCCUUCAGAAUUAUCCAGGUACAAAAAGUCAGAAACAUUCCCAAGGUAGAGUUGUCUGAACCUGUGCUUUCUAGGAUAAUAGCCACUAGUCACUUAACUGCUGAGCACUGAAAACAGGGCUGGUUCCAAAUAGACCCCCAAAAUGGAAAAACAAAAACCCCCAAACCUGGUUAUAGAUCAGUUGGUGACUUUUUGUCUGAUUACAUGGUAAGAUGGAUUUGCAUAUCUGAACAGUCUAUGGUUUGUGUUCUAACAACAGAUGAACUAUAUGACAUUUGCUGUCCUUGAUGUACAGUACCUGAAUAUCUGGGUGAAUAAUCUUAGACUUUUUUUUUUUUUUUUUUUUUUGUGUGUGUGUGUGGAGACAGUUUCAUUAUGUAUCCCUGGCUGACCUGGAAUUGGCUAUAUACACCAGGCUGGUCUCAAACUCAGAGAUCUUUUUGCCUCUGCUUCUUCAGUGCUGAGACAGAUGUGAGCAACCACACCUGACCUAACACUAAACACGUGAGGUAUUAAUGAGCUACCAAAGGCUUUGAUAUUUUCCUGAAGUUACUUGACACUAUGGCCAACACCAUGCAGUCACUGUUCAGUUAAUAUCCUAGUCACUCAGCUCCUAAAGGACCAAGUAAAUCAGAAAUAUUGAAAACUCAAAACUUAUUUUAUUGUGAAGUUAGUUUUUGGCUAUAUUCUAUCUGAAUCCCAUAAUAUAGUGAAUUCAAGAGCUCACAGAAAGUAUUGCUAGAGGAGUAAAGCACUAUUUGACAAAAUUUUAAAUUUUAUAUUAGCAUUAAGUAACACAGACAUUUUUUUUUUAAAAAGCAUUUUAUGUGAACUAUAUAAACUUAGGGGCUUUUGUCAUCUUGGGAUAUAUCUUAGGCAUAAGUUUCUGUCUUCACAGGUCUGUGAGUUCCUGUCCUCUGAAGAAAACCCAAGUCAUUCUAGAGCACUCUGUUGUGGUGUUGCCACGGAUGUGCUGUUAAACUAAUCAUCAGUAGGCUGCCUCCUUGACCCAUGCAGCUACCCUGAAGUUGCUGCUCCUCCAAGAAAGCCUUUACCAGUUCCUUUUGUCCUUUGUUCAACAGCAAAGACCAUGGCAGCAACCCGUAGCCUUCUGGUCCUUCUACAGAGCAGAACUCAACCUAUCCUUAAGAGCAGUCAUCACCAGGACCACAGGCUCACAUGGAUGUGUAUGUACAAGGACUCAAACCAACUAGUACCUUUACUUUUUGUUGUCAAGAUUUGAAGUCAGGCACAAUGGAAAGGGCAUGGAAAAUGAACCCAACACAAAACUCUCAAGAAUGUUUCAGGGUGCAGGUUGGCACUCACUAAGCAGGGGCCAAACCAACAGGAUCUAAGGCAAUGGGGCUUCCAGAGAUGUCCAACAUGACCAAGCUAGAGUAUUAAGUAACUGUGCUCCUCACUCUCUAAAUAGCAGUUAGUGCUGGCAAUGUUUGCAGCCCUAUGGCACUGUGACCCUGAAGAAACUGCCAUGUAUUGGUGUCUGGCUUUGUUCUCAACCCUCUACUCUGUCCCCUACUUCAUUUUCAAACAGAAGUUCCUUAUUUCUGGCAUAAUGAGAUUUUCCCAGGUAGGGUCAAACUUUCAAGAUACACAAAAAAAGUACAAUGAGUUGUCUCGGUAGCUCUCUAUCCCUUUCUACACAGAUGACUGCUGAGGUGAAAUCGAUUUUCCUUCCUAAGUUUCCAGGUCUUCCUGCCCUCACCUUCUCUUUACUUCACUCAUCUCGGAGUUACUACAGCAGGCCUUUCGACCUUCAGUCUCACUUUCCCCAAUCUGAAAUGUUAGCAUCAUUUUUUUUUUCCUGCUUAGUCCUCUAGCCUCAGUUAAGACAUACACACACUGCACAGACUGUUGCUUGCCUGCUUCCCUAGACAAGAGUGAAGGCCGAGUUUCUCACUUUCUGUCUACUGUAUAUAUAUCCCUUUUACUCACACGCUCCAGAGCUUAAUCAUGCUCUCAUCUCCUGUGUCUAUGUCUGAGUCACACUACAUAGUAAUGUCGCUACGGCUUAUUACUCUCUAGCGUGCCAUAGUAACUUAAGUUAGGCUCCUAGACGCCAGCUGUCUUUCAUUACUAUGUUCCUAGUUCCAAGACAGCAUGAAAUCAAAAGCUGCUUAAUAUCAAGCUGCUCAAAUACCACUUUCACUAAAUGGUGAGAAUGGAGAUUAGAACCCACGAUGCUCAGUUAUGGUUAAGAUCUCAGAUGUUACCACACUUCAUGAUAAACAUAUUCACAAAAAUCAUAUAAAUAUAUAUCUAACUUUGAAUAUACAUACCCUCUACUUAAUACAAGAGCACUGAUACCAGAAGAUCAAGGCAAGGCACAGAGAAUAAAAAACAUGGCCAGAAAUGCCUGAGACUAGGAGAGCCAGCCCAAAGCCUAGUUUCUUAAUCACCUCAUUACAGAACCCAAUGGUGUUUAUGUCUUAAAAACUGCUUCCAAAAUCAAAGGCAAGCUAUGAAACAAAUGAAGACUACAAAGAGAGAUUGCACACCCAUAGAGUAUCUGUCCCAAGAGUGCUCCAGCUGCAUUUCACUGGUAACAUUAAAAGGUUUACAUCAGGUACUUCAAAGUACAUAUUUAUACAUACUUACAGUCACUGAAAUACAGAAACGAAUCUUUGUCCAUUACCAUAAGCUAAUGAGAAAUUUUCAAAAUUUUGGAUUUAGCAUUGUUAUUAUGGGCAAUAAAUAUAUAAAUAAAUGAACAAAACAAAGAGGCCAUAACAUCAAUUAAAGCAUGGCAACUUUUUAGCAUUCAAAUAUUUGUUUUAUUGCAAUACACUGUUCAACUUAAAGACAUAAGGUAGAACAUGACAACUUCCUUUGAGAGCAUUCUUGUCUUCUACUUCUAAGAGAGUUUAACAAGAUCAUUUGGAAAAUUUAUUUAUUAAAAUAUUGAUGAUGAAUUGUUCCCUUUCUGUUUAGAUCACACUAAUACAAGCUGUUCCUAAUCCAUUUUAUCUACUUGUGAUCAGUGCUCCCAGGAUCUUAUUUAAACAAGAACAAUUAAAUGCUUUCUAAUGGAGGAAAUGAAGAGGUAUUAUAGAAGAGUUUCGGAAACCAGGAACAAAUCAAUAGAGGUAAAUACUGUGAUUUUCAAUCAAGUCAUCUGCAGAGAAAUGCAACCAACUGUUAUCAGUGCCACCAAGUCCAAUGAUUCUGUUGUUUCUUCCUAGACCAGUCUCCUAACUGUACUAAAGACACCCAAACACACUACAAUCAAACUUCAAGACAAGCUCUCAUUUUGUAGUUCAGGCUGGUCUCAAACUCACUGUGUAGCCCAAGCUGGCCUCAAACCUGAGAUCCUCGCCUCUGCCCCUCGGGUGCUCAGACACCAGAUGCACACUUGCUUGGCUAAGGAAGGAAACAUUUCUGGUGCCACAGGUACUGCUGGCAAAAGGCAGGCAGUUGUGAAAUUUCUCAAUAAAUGAUCGGUCCAUGUCAACUCCAACUUACUAAAUCAGAAAUGUCUCCCCAGUGACAGGAGAAUGUUACUUUUCAUGUCCAAUCUUGAGAUACUCAUGGCCCAGGGCCAGAGCUAAGAAACACACAAUAUUAAUAAAUGCUACAAUAUCACAUUCUUCAUUUUUUGUGGGGAUGUUGGUUCAUGCCAACUGCUCUUUGCUUCUCCAUAAACAAAGAGACCAAAAUAAAACAACAACUACUACUACCUUAUUAUCAGCCACUGAUAGAAAACUUAAUAGUUUGAACAUCUGCUAAUAACCCUGUGAGGACAGUGACAGUGCAUAAUAAACUGGAACUAAAUAUUAACAUCUCAAGGCCUUUCUCACGGAAAGUCAACAGACUUAGGAGACUGAUUUAAAAAACAUCUAUUUCCUAGCUUAAGCACAACAUUUACAGAAUAUGGUAUAAAGUAUUAGUUGGGUACAUUAUGGCCAAAAAUGUUUCAUCAGUGACUUCAGAAUGUGAGUCACUACCAGGAGUACACCAAGCAGAAGCCACUCAGACUCAGUAGGAGAUGUGGGAAGGAGAAAGUAGACAGCGAAACAGUAACUAUUGUCAUAUCACACAGCUAAGAAAAUAUUAGAAGUCACAUAUGUUAGGAAAAAUAGGAGAAUGAGCUCCAAAGUACUGACAUGCUAGAAUUUUUAAAGUCAAAUUAAAAUAUCCAUACAGUGAGUAAAAAAGGACAAUUCUCUCUCACUGUCAGUGAGUUUACACCAGGGCAAACCAAACCCACAGAAAAAUGGCCGAAUGUUCCAGAGCACCCAUGAGCAGCAAAUGGCAUGGCUGACAACAGUACCAUCUGCCUCUAAGUUACUCUGUAUGCUCCUGAUUUGGUUUAGAUGGACUCUCCUGUGUGAAGCAUAGGCUAUCCCAAUCCUAUGGUCAAAUACACAGUGCUGCUAGCAGUCAGAUUACAAACACAGCUGUCCUCGAUUUUGAAGAGUUUCAUGCUCUGCUCACUGUUAGCUUACUGCUGGGGAAAAUUCCUUAUUUCACUCAAGUCAGCACACAAAAGCAGGUACUAUUUACACUGAAUUCAUGAUUCCUUUCCCUGAAAGAAAUAUGUCUGUAUAUUGCUGUAACAUAUUAAAGUGAUUGCUUUUUUUUUUUUUUUUUUUUUUUUUUUUUUUAAGACAGGCUAGGCUAGAACUCACUCUGCAGCCCAGGCCAGCCUGGACCUUGUGGCAAUCCUCCUACCUCAGUUUCCUAAGUGUGGCAUGAGCCACUAUGUCCAGUGGGACAUGAGUGCUCUGAAAGCUUGCCAUAGCGAGACUCAGAGCCACAGUGUCAAGUCAGGUCUGGAAAGGUCUACCAUUUCUGACAAUGCGCUAGGAUGGAAACAACCUUGCCCUGCGUACUGCAGCUAUGCUCAGGCUCAUCCUAGUAUCUAAACCGGUGAAAACCAGAGUAAUUGGGUAACAUUUAAGAAUACAGUAUACACUCUCACAGUCAACAUGACCCUACCAUACACAGGAAUGUCAGUUAGAGACCACCACUUAUUUUAAUUUCUUAAAACAACCUUACAGUCUGCUUUGUAACUAGGUUUGGAAAUCAUUAUGUCUUUUUCUCUAGAGAGGAGCCAAAGAAAGAGGACUGUUUUCUAAAGGGAACAGUGCUUCUCUUACACUUCCUGGCAAAGAGGAAAUAAAAAGCCAGAUUAAAGUAGAAUAAAAAUUUGCAAUAAAUUUACCUUGAACAAGAGUGGCACUAGAGAAAACCUACUUCUCCACACACGUGUGACCUUAUUUGAAGAGCAUUUACAAAGAUUCUAGAAGGUGAGGACUGGCUGGAUACGUGAGGAUCCCAAUUUUUAUUCCAUCUUCAUAGUAUUUACUGUCAGUAGUUUCAGAUAAAUAUUCAAAUAGCUAGUAUAAUUUUAUGACUGAUGCUACUCAGUGUCUGCACACAGACUGAUAAAUAUUAUAAGCAAUGUUAUAGAAAAGUAUCACUUACACAACAUUCCCAGGGUAGUAACUUUGAGCAGAAACUGGAACAUCUGAGCUCCUCUCCAUUCUUUUAUUUCUAAAUUAUCCUUUAUAGGAAAUCAUUGCAGACAGAAUAUAAAGUAAAAAUGCCAACUUUAUAAAAUCUGAGGGGAAGAUAAGGGCUGUCCAGACAAGCGCAGACCAUCAGUGUCCUCGGCAUGGCUGCACUGAGUCUAACACCACAGGAGCUUGGAGGCAGCGGGCGCAGACAGAAGUGAUGAAGACUGCCGGAGACAGUGUGAAGGAAGGGCAGCCAACUUCGGCAGAGGCGUCCAAGAGGUUGAGCUUGGCACAAAGCAGGUCACCUUCCAGGGGCCCCUAAACAUUCAUCAUUACCAUAGUUGCUCUCCAAGAAGAGCAGACAGCAGAAGCAAUUCUUACCACAACAAUACAGCAGCAGUAGAAUGCCAAGUGAUUAUUCACGUCCUAAGAGCUCUUCCCUGGGGGAAAUCAGGGGAAGAGGAAAGCAAGCAUACAAACUCCAAGAUGAAGUAAAAUGUAUUCAGAUUCAGAUUUUAUAUUAACAGGAAAACUUUAAGGAAAGAAAAUUUCCCUUGAGGGAAGAGUAACUUCCUACAACUGGAUGGGGAAAAAGCAGCUGCAGAGCUUUGCUGGCAGCCCUCACACUUAGGUUCUGCUCGGCUAGCCUAUGGUGUGUGACUGCAGGAAGCUAUGUACUAUCUAGCCUCCAACCAUAGGAAAGCAAGGCAAGUUCUUUCCAUUAUGUCCUGCCCCCCCCCCCCCCGGGCCCUCAUCCUUUUGGAAAACAGGAAACAGAAGCAACAGGGCUGGGGAACAAAUGAGAGGGCAAGAGUAGCAGCAUCAGAGCAGCACACACUUCAACCGGCCAGGACAGCUCAGCAGAGAAGCACGACUGUGCGGUGUGACUAGACCGGGGAAGCAGCAUUCUCCUGAGGAAACCAAACGUGAAGCCUACUUAUUGAUAUUUUGAUAAUGAUUUAAAAAGACAUUCACUGCUGUAGCCCUGAUAGCUCUCUUCCAGUAUUCUUAACCAUCAGAUGCAUUUGGGGGAAUAUUUAUUCACAUAAUUUUGCUUAAUACAGUUCUUUCUACAAAGACUGAAUUUAAAAGUAUCCACAACAUUUUCAAUUACAGUAACAACACAUUAAUAAAUUAUAAAUUAACAAAAUCUUUAUAUUUGCUUAAAAAUCAUUUAUCAAAUGCUAACUUCCAGACUAUCUGGAAAACUAAAGAUGCAAGUUGCUAGAAAUCUGGCAUCCCAAUUAAAUUCUGAUUUUUAAAAGUAUAUAAAAUGUCCCUCAAAUUACUACAAGUCCCACUGCAGACGUGUUUAUUUCACCCUUUUCAUAAGGUAUUAAGUUUACAGCUUGCUAAACAUUUAACCAAACAUGGGAAAACUGCCUGGAAAUGCAAAGCACAAUGAAGUAGUUACAUGAAAAGAAGGAAAGAUCCCUGUUAGGACAGUCACUGCGGCCCCAGCACGAAGACCUGCAAAUCUGGACUUUUCAAAGUUGCAUAGCUGCAGGAUGGUCACUGCUAACAAGCUAUUGCGCAGUUUUAUUUCAGAAGAAACAAUGUAUUUCAGAAACUGCAAUUCAGUAGACAGUUCUACAUUUAAUUAACUAAAAUGUAAUUAUGUAACUUGAUUUACUCUUUGGAUGGCAUUUUUUUAUAUUAAACCUUUAAUUCAAACUACUAACAUAUUUUAGCUCUUCUACCCAGAAACCUACUUUUCACACAUGGGGGGAAAAAAUGGAAGAACUUGAGAUUAUACUCUCUCCAUUCACAGAAUAUUAUAACUGCUUUGAUUACAUUUCUUGGUUUCACAUUGAAGAGUUUGUAAGAACUAAAUUGGGUGGUUUUCAAGUUAAGAAUAGGUGAAUGCAGAGACAUUAUGUUGGGGAAAAUAAAAAAAGUCCCCAAACUAAAAACAAACAAACAAAACAAAUACAAUAAAACAGCAGCUCUACAGAACUUAAUAAAAAGUAAAUCAACUUUGAAAUUAGUUAACUUUGGCGUCUGAAUACAAAAUGUUUACCAGUAUUAUCUACGCAGUGACUAGUACAGGAUGUGCAGCAUUUUCAAAAAUCCCUGUGUGUCCCUUAUAUGCAAGUUUGGUGAGUUCUGUGGUUCCUGACCAUCUCUGGACUACUGAGUGUCACAGAACUCAGAUCCUGGCUGAGCAAGCCUGCAGUUUUCAUUUCUGUUUUCCAGAGACAGAUCUUCCAAUCUUCUAGACUUCUUAAGCAUCUUGAAAAGACAAGAAACC